UACGGAGGGUGCAAGCGUUAUCCGGAUUCACUGGGUUUAAAGGGUGCGUAGGUGGGCAGGUAAGUCAGUGGUGAAAUCUCCGAGCUUAACUCGGAAACUGCCGUUGAUACUAUUUGUCUUGAAUAUUGUGGAGGUAAGCGGAAUAUGUCAUGUAGCGGUGAAAUGCUUAGAUAUGACAUAGAACACCAAUUGCGAAGGCAGCUUACUACACAAUGAUUGACGCUGAGGCACGAAAGCGUGGGGAUCAAACAGG
rnacentral:rRNA from 1 species